AGACAGGAGAACAGCAAGGU
rnacentral:miRNA from 1 species